rnacentral:rRNA from 1 species
ACGGAGGGUGCAAGCGUUAUCCGGAUUUAUUGGGUUUAAAGGGUCCGUAGGCGGAUCUGUAAGUCAGUGGUGAAAUCUCGCAGCUUAACUGCGAAACUGCCAUUGAUACUGCAGGUCUUGAGUAAAUUUGAAGUGGCUGGAAUAAGUAGUGUAGCGGUGAAAUGCAUAGAUAUUACGUAGAACACCAAUUGCGAAGGCAGGUCACUAAGAUUUAACUGACGCUGAGGGACGAAAGCGUGGGGAGCGAACAG